GCGGAUGUAGCUCAGUUGGUAGAGCAUCAGCUUCCCAAGCUGAGGGUCGCGGGUUCGAUCCCCGUCAUCCGCUCCA
rnacentral:tRNA from 3 species